CAAAAGGCCCUUUUCAGGGCCGCAAAAUCUAUCAAUAAAAUGAUU
rfam:Bombyx mori DNA, contig: Bm_scaf2430_contig47452, strain: p50T/Dazao, build 2, whole genome shotgun sequence.